CUUAUCUAAAAUGCUUGGGACCAGUCAUAUUUUAGAUUUCAGAUUUUUCAAAUUUUAUAAUAUUUGCAUAUACAUAAUGAGAUUAAUUAGGGAAUGAGACCCAAGACUAAACACCAAAUCCAUUUGGGUUUCAUAUACAUCUUAAACACAUAGCCUAACGUAACUUUGUGCAAUGUUAUUAGUAUGCCUGUGUUUUGACUGUGACUUGUCACAUGAGAUCAGGGGUGGAAUUUUCCACUUAAGGCAUCAUGUCAGAGUCCACAUUUUUUUUUUUUUUUUGGUGGUUCUGGGAAUUGAACCCAGUCUUGUGCAUGCGAGGCAAGCAUUCUACCAACUGAGCUAUGUCCCCAGCCCAAUAUUUUUGAUUUUCACAUUAGGGAUACUCAACCUAAAUUUUCUUUCACAUAAAACCAAGACUCAAAGAGUGGUUACUCAGCUGCUGUUUCUUUUUUUUUUUUUUUUAAUUUUUUAUUGUGGGUUGUUCAAAACAUUAUAAAUUUCUUGACAUAUCAUAUUCCACACUUUGAUUCUAGUGGGUUAUGAACUCCCACCUUCACCCCAUACACAGAUUGCAGAAUCCCAUCAGUUACACAUCCAUUGAUUUACAUAUUGCCAUACUAGUGUCUGUUGUGCUCCGCUGCCUUUCCCAUCCUCCACCCUCCCCCCUCAGCUGCUAUUUCUGACAUGAAGUGGCCCCUCUUUCAUUGUACCAUUUUGCUCUCUGUAGAGCUUUCUUUCACUAACCCUGUACUAUAACUUUUCAAUCAUUCUUUAGUUUUUAUGGAUCCAGCUUUUACUUUGAGUUGUCCAUAACUGAUGUACCCCAUGGGGAGAAUUGAGCUUCUCUUUUGUAGGUUGGCCUUCUUUGGCCUUUGGGUACCUCUGAGGAUAGUUUUUCCAUUGGAAAGAAAUGGUAGGAGGGGCUGAGGCUGUAGCUCAGUGGUGAAGUGCUUGCCUUGUAUGUGUGAGGCACUGGGUUCAAUCCUCAGCACCACAUAGACAUCUACAACUAAAUAAAUAUUUGAAAAAAAAUAAAUAAUGAUAUGAAAUUGCCUUCCUUAUAGGUUUAUAAGAUUUAAAUUGUGAAGAGUAGAUAUAUAACAAUGGAAAUGACUGAAGCUUCUCCCUUUUUGUCAGUUCAGCAACUUCUGCUUCAUUGGCAUAGGGCAUAAGUAGAAAUGAGUUCAGAAGACAAAUUCAACCUACUGAGGUGUUAGCUUAUUGAUGUAUUACUUCUGCCCUUUGUAAAAUGUGUCAUUUUUUUUCUUUCCUGAAUGCUGGUAUUCAGGGUCUGAUUUCAGCUGAGAUAGCAAUAACCAUAUAUCCUGAGAUUGAUACAAGCCUGAAAGUUAUUGUUUAAUUUGGCACAUAGUAAAUGGUGAGGCAUUGCAGAUGUAAGCACCAAAUCUGGCUAAAAAUAUAUCAGAAUACAAUGUUACUGAUUAAUAUGUCAUUCUUUGCAAUUUAAACUGUUGUACCUUUUUUCUCUUCAUUUUCUUUUCUUCUAUGAAACUACUUUGCAGUAUUAAUCUAACACUCAGUCUAGUGCAGGAUACACAUAGACAUGGUAGGCAAAGAUCUUAUUAAGUAAAAUCCUGUUGAAUGAGCAAAGUGACCCAACAAUAGAGAGUGUAGUUCCAUUUAAAUCUUUAUAUAUAUAUAUAAAGUACGAUUUUAGGUAAGCCCUGAAUAUAAUUAUUUUGAAGCAGCUUUAAAAAUGGUGAAACAGAUGGCUCUGAUUAUCUCCAAAAGGAAGGGAAGGAUUGGAGAGUUUUGUCAUUUCUUGUUUAAUAGUUUUGGCAUUGCUUAUACACACUUAAGUUUUAAAUACUCUGGUUUAUAAAUUCUCAAUCCCGUGCUAAACCUUAUUUCAUUCUCAAAUUCUCAUCUGACCCUACUUCCCAUGCCAACUCUCAAGACUCAGUCUCUUUGUCUGUGACUCAUACUGGCUCUUUCAACAUUUCAUUUCCCGAUUAUCCCUGAACCCAGAUUUCCCAGGACAGAAAGUACAAGGCUGUCCCAGAAUUUCUUUUAACGAGAACCAUUCCUUCCGCCCCCAGUCCCUAGCUAGUCCUGUUCACUAAGGGAACAUUUUAUAAACUCAAAAGCAUUUUAUUUUGGAUUGGACCAGGCUGGUUCUCUGAGGACCUAAGCAAUGUAGAGAGAAAGAUUCUCUAAAGAUGAAUAAGGUUAUUUGGGAAUAGCAGAGUUUUGCCAGGGAAGUGUGGAUACUAUAGCAACUAUGAGCAUGAUCAUAGGUUGAAUCAAGGGGGAGAGGAUUACAUAAGCUAUUUGGAGUGAUAGCAUCUGAUUAUAGGGAUCAAUAACAAAGAAGGCAUCCAUCCCAGAUCAAACAGACAGUUAUUGGGGAGAAGUCCGCAGAAGUUGUUUCUAUGUAGGAUUGCAGGGGCCUUUGUGUAAGGUUGUGGUUCUAGCAGAGUCUUUUGUGAAUAGUUAACUGUUGUCAGUCAAUCAUGCAUGAGAUCCCCUUCUUUACAACUUCUGGGCUUUAUUUACUUUUUAAAAUUAUAUUUUGGCAAAAAGUAACCCCAUUUUAAUUCUGAUAAUAUUCACAGAUAACUAUCCAAAGAAUCUUCAAUAUUUUGUUUCCCAGUCUUCUUGGGCCAGGAUAGAUAUCUUAUGCUUCCCCCUGGCAAAGUUCAGUCUCUCUGGUUCUACACUGCCUCCAGAAUUUUCUUCAUACCUCCCGCCUUUGAAAUGCAAAGCAGUUCAACUCAUAUCUCAUUUGAGCAAGCAAUUGGGGUGCCCCAUGCCAAGUAACUAUCAAAAAUUUCAUCUAAAUAAUGAGCAUGCGAUAUUUUCAAAAUAUAAUAACCAUUGUCAACAGAACAACAAUUUAAAAUGUUUUUUUUAAAAGGGACAGGAAUCAUUUUCUUUUUCAGGAAUGUAAGUAGAUGUUAAGGAAAUGAGGGGAGAGUGAUGUCCUCUCCAACCAUCCUCACAGAACCCCUGAGUAUAGUGACAAUCAGAGCAUAUCUGAAUGGACAGAUAUCAGCAUGUUUCCCUUCUACAUCGAUAGUUUUAUUUCUAGACAUGCUAUGCCUUUUCUUCCUAGACAUGCUAUGCCUUUUCUUCACCUGUCUCUUCCCUGUUUAUGGACUAGCUUUUCAUUCUAGAAAGGCAGAAGAGCUAAUUUAGGCUUUUCAGAAUUUCUUCUUCCUGCCUUUGGGUGUUUGAGGACCUCAAAUUUCUUUAUCCUUUCCCUUGUCUCUUUGUUUUGGUUUCUCCUUUACCAGUUCUGAACCAUCUGGAAAUCUCUUCCUCAUCUAGAUCCUUACUGCCAGUCUCAGCAAGGAUCUCAGCAAGGCCUCUAGCACUUACAUACCCCACACCCUUGCAGCAAAGUCAAACAUAAUGUUUUAAGGAUCUUCUGAAACUCACACAGAUAUUAGAGUUUAUAUUAGAAUUCUACCCUCUACUUUUUUCUGCAUCUCUGUAUCUUUGAAUCAAUAAUCAAUUUUUUUAUGUGUACGUGUAUGUGCGCUGGGGAUUGGAUCCAGGGCUCAAGCACUCUACUACUGAGCCACAUCCCCAACCCACCCUUUGACCCAGCUAUCCCACUCCUCGGCUUAUACCCAAAAGACUUAAAAUCAGCAUACUACAAGGACACAGCCAUAUCAAUGUUUAUAGCAGCACAAUUCACAAUAGCUAAACCGUGAACCAACCCAGAUGCCCCUCAGUAGAUGAAUGGAUAGGGAAACUGUGGUAUAUAUACACAAUGGAACAUUAUUCAGCAUUAAAAGAGAAUAAAAUCAUGGCGUUUGCAGGUAAAUGGAUGGAGUUAGAGAAUAAAUAUAAGGCUAAGUGUAUUACUCCAAUCCCAAAAAACCAAAGGCUGAAUGUUUUCUUUGAUAUGAGAUGCUGACUCAUAAUGGCGAUGGCGGGGAGCAUGGGAGGAAUGGAGGAACUUUAGAUAGGGCAAAGGGGAGAGAGGGAAAGGAGGGGGUAAGGGGGAAGGAAUGAUGGUGGAAUGAGUUAGACAUCAUUACCCUAAGUACAUGUAUGAAGACACAAAUGGUGUGAAAAUACUUUGUGUACAAUCAGGG
rnacentral:lncRNA from 1 species